rnacentral:tRNA from 1 species
CCCUUGAUAGCUCAGUUGGUAGAGCGGUAGACUGUAACUGGAUAAGCGUGCACAUCUAUAGGUCCGCGGUUCGACUCCGUGUCGAGGGA